GUGAGAGACCACUAUGAUGACACACCAAAUGUGUUUGAUCGAUCCCGGGAAAAGCGCAGGAAUAGGCUUUUGUAGGCUACAGUCCAAAGUAUGUCUUCCAACGGUGUGACGGCUGUCGGCAUCCAAAGAUUAUUCAACUUGAAUAAACGCUUCGAGGACAAUGACCCAACACACCUCCAGGCUGUGUACAGCUAUGUGACCAAGAAGGAGAGUGACGGAGUGCUUCAUCAGAUGACCUGGCAUCCACAAUCACCUGACUUCUACCCAAUUGAGAUGGUUUGGGAUGAGUUGGACCGCAGAGUGAAGGAAAAGCAUCCAACAAGUGCUCAGCAUAUGUGGGAACUCCUUCAAGACUGUUUGAAAAGCAUUCCUCAUGAAGCUGGUUGAGAGAAUGCCAAGAGUGUGCAAAGCUGUCAUCAGGGUAAAGGGCUACUUUCAAAAAUCUCAAAUGUAAAAUAUAUUUUGAUUUGUUUAACACUUUUUUGCUUACUACAUGAUUCUACAUGUGCUAUUUCAUAGUUUUGAUGUCUUCACUAUUAUUCUACAAUGUAGAAAAUAGUAAAAUAAAGAAAAACCCUUGAAUGAG